GACGUAGGGUGCAAGCGUUGUCCGGAUUUACUGGGCGUAAAGAGCGCGUAGGCGGCUCGUUAAGUGCGAAGUGAAAGCUCUGGGCUCAACCCAGAAACCGCUUUUCAUACUGGCAAGCUGGAGUGAUGCAGAGGUGGAUAGAAUUCCCGGUGUAGCGGUGAAAUGCGUUGAGAUCCGGAAGAACACCGGUGGCGAAGGCGGCCUGCUGGGCAGUUUUGCUGACACUGAGGCGCGACAGCGUGGGGAGCAAACAGG
rnacentral:rRNA from 1 species